CCCAAAAAAAAACAUGGGUCCCACGGCGCCACUGAUUGUCAUUCUACUUCCUGUUAAAUAUUUGUUAAAACUCAGUGGUCCCGUAAUUUUUACCGAUUACGUAUGACGUCAUUGACAUCAACGAAUGUUUUCACGAUUUCAUGUUUGUCAAUAGAGCCCCCCCCCCCCGCCCCGCUUCGGUAAAUUUAGUUCUACAGCACGGUGGAAAGCCUUGCA